UACGAAGGGGGCUAGCGUUGUUCGGAUUUACUGGGCGUAAAGCGCACGUAGGCGGAUUGUUAAGUCGGGGGUGAAAUCCUGGAGCUCAACUCCAGAACUGCCUUCGAUACUGGCAAUCUCGAGUCCGGAAGAGGUAAGUGGAACUCCUAGUGUAGAGGUGGAAUUCGUAGAUAUUAGGAAGAACACCAGUGGCGAAGGCGGCUUACUGGUCCGGUACUGACGCUGAGGUGCGAAAGCGUGGGUAGCAAACAGG
rnacentral:rRNA from 1 species